GUGUUGUACGAAAGGAGAGAAAGUUAGCACUCCCCUUGAUAAGGACGGACUACACUGGGAAGAAUCCUUCAUACACAGUUGCGAUUCAAGCCCGUUAAUACGUUUCCACACUUAUUU